rnacentral:lncRNA from 1 species
GUUUCUAGGGAAGAGUCCUGAGAGUCCCAAGGAGCCAUUUGGGAUCUGCCGGAGCAAGAACAACGGGUAAUUCCUGAUCGCUAGUUAUCUGUGGUUGAGGGGCUAGUUGUUGCCUGGUGACUCACUGUGGUGGCCCUUUACUGUCCAGCUGAUGCCCGUGGCAACAUGCCACGUGCUACCGGCACGGGGAGCGGCUGCAGCUCCAGGAUGAGUGAGUCUGUGCUAGAUUUGGGUGUGGGGGGGCGGGUGGCGGCGGGGGGGUGGUGGUGUUCGGGGGACAGACUGCACAGAACCCUUCUCUCUCCCUCACUUCCCAUUCUCUUUCUACUUCAUUAGCGUGAAGAGCUAAAAGCGAUUCCAAGGAAAUGUAGCAGAAGUGUCAGUCCAGCUGCACUCAUGUCCUGGCAAAAGGGACAGACCAAGCCGGCUGCUUCCCCAUGUGCUCUGGUGCUGGUCUCCCACCGGGACACAGAGCAGGGCCGGGGCUCCAAGCACUGCUUUAGGGUCUCCCAGAAGUGCAAGGAAGCCUCACGCGAUGCCUGAUUCAGAAGUAGGCUGCUACCAGGCAGCUUUGUGCAUUUGGUGGCUUCCUUGGAAACUCAUCAAACGCUUGGCACAAACGCGUCCCUCCUCCAGUGACAGGAGCUCACACUUCGGCAAGCAUCAAACUGCUCUGAAAUGUGAUAACGGCGUCUGUCAAUUUCUGCACACAGAGUGCUGUUUUCUGCAGCGGGACUGUUUGUCUUGGCCUUCUGGAGCUGUAGGAGCUUUCAGACCCCCUACUCCUUGGAGCAAGGUGCUGCUGCAAUGGGGUGAGCGCGGAGCAAACAUUGAAAGGCUUUGAGCUGGGUAAGGGCAGGUUCAGGAGGCAGGUCUGCCUGCAGGGUGGAGGGAAGCUGGAUGGAGCAGACACCCCAGAGGCUGUCCAGUGGUCCAGGUGGACAAGGAAGGGGGUGGUGGGGAUGGAGACCACAGGAAGAUCCAGGGCUUGGGCAGGGCGUGUAGGACUUAGGAUGUUCUGUUCCCCUCUGUCCUUAGCCCUGAUACAACAAUAUGCUUAAGCCGUCUUCUCCCCUUCUAGGAGCUCAGUGGACCCUCAGAGCUCAUGGAGGACCUGACAAGGGUUCUCUUAGAAAGGGGCUAAUGGAAAUGUCCUUUAGGAAAGGUGAGGAUUCUUCCUGCUGGAUGCCGUGAAGAUUAAGGAUGACGGAGCCUCCAUCUGAGUGACUCAUUUCUGGGCAGUGAUGGGGGUCCUGGCCCUCAGCCACUGCUCCUGGUGUCCCAAGGCUCCCCCAGCGAUCCUUAAUCAGGCCACUAGCCAUGGCAGCAUUUGGUGUGCUUCACCUGUUGUGGUUAUUUUCCUAACUAUGCCCCGAUCGUCCCAUUCUUAAGCUGGUGCGAGCUUAUUCAAGUUAACUCUUGAAUUUUUCUGAGCCAAUCUCAGUCGUUUCGGCUUUGGUCUGGCGAGAAGCUUUAGGGUCUGUGCAUUUCCCGCUUUGGAUCUGGAAUCAGCCAUUUCUCCAAGUGGCCCUGGUUCCUUUUGGUGGGAAAUGGUAUUGAGAGGUCACACUCUAGGUAAAUGUGUCCCUCCUUUCUUGGCCAAAAAUGCCACAGACGCUCCAAAAGUGUGUGAUGUCAAAUUUUGUAAGAAACUUUUAGUUUUUUGCUAAUUUUAAUGGGUAAAAAUUGUUACCUUAGGGUUGUUAAUAAUUUGCCUCUCAUUACGAGUAAGGUUGAGUAGUUACGAAAAUAUGUAUGUAUAUAAACUGCAGUGGCUUGGGUCGUUGCUAUG